rnacentral:ncRNA from 1 species
GCAAAUACGCAGAAAGGGAAUAGUAGAUAACCCUAUGGAUACAGAGAGCCGGCGGCUGGUGUGAGCCGGUGACAGAAGGUUGUUGAACUGGCCCUGGAGUAGCCUGGCCCAAAGGAGAUGUCCCAUCGGGAUCGGAUCUCAGUAGGACAGGACGGAACCCUUACCGUUAUAAGAGGAACAAGUGCAUGCGUCAGAAGGCAUGAACCAGAGUGGUACCGCGCGAGGACAUUGGCUUUGCGUCUCUAGA